rnacentral:rRNA from 2 species
AAACCAACAGGGAUUGCCCUAGUAACGGCGAGUGAAGCGGCAACAGCUCAAAUUUGAAAUCUGGCGUCUUCGGCGUCCGAGUUGUAAUUUGUAGAGGAUGCUUCUAGGUAGCCACCGGUCUAAGUUCCUUGGAACAGGACGUCAUAGAGGGUGAGAAUCCCGUAUGCGACCGGCCCGGCUCCUUCCACGUAGCUCCUUCGACGAGUCGAGUUGUUUGGGAAUGCAGCUCUAAAUGGGAGGUAAAUUUCUUCUAAAGCUAAAUACCGGCCAGAGACCGAUAGCGCACAAGUAGAGUGAUCGAAAGAUGAAAAGCACUUUGGAAAGAGAGUUAAAAAGCACGUGAAAUUGUUGAAAGGGAAGCGCUUGCAACCAGACUUGUAGGCGGUGUUCAGCCGGUCUUCUGACCGGUCCACUCACCGUCCGCAGGCCAGCAUCAUUCGCGGCGGUCGGAUAAAAGCGGUGGGAAUGUAGCUCCCUCGGGAGUGUUAUAGCCCACUGCAGAAUACGGCCAGCUGCGAGUGAGUCCGCGCUCGGC